GAAGGUAACGAGUCUGUGAUCUUUGCCUGAAGCCACUGGAGAAAAACAGAACUCUCCAAAUGUCUUCCAACAAUGACCUGAUUUUAAACUCUGAUGUCCUCCCUGGGAUAAGCUCCAGGGACCAGAAAGGGCCUGUGCUAAGUUUUCACAACAUCUGUUAUCAUGUAAAAGAGAAGAGAGCCUUUCUAUUUAACUGAAAAACAACUGAGAAAAAGAAACUAUCAGAUAUCAAGUAUGUGCAUAAACCUUGGAGAGGAUCACCUUAUUGACUUACAAUGAACUUCAGGUUUUAGCUAUUACCAAUAAACUGCUAUGAAUAUUUGCAUUCAAAUAUCUAA